rnacentral:lncRNA from 1 species
UGAAAACACAGCUCCAGCCCCAGCAAACUGUUUGUUUGCAUUCGGAGUGCUCCGUUUGCAAACCAGUAGCUUUCUGAGUAAACUUGAGACAAAGAGCACAAAUUUGGGUGAGCUGAGGGGGGCCUCUUCCUUCACACCGAUGUGAGCGAGUGCAAGCGGAGCUGUGACCUCCAGAGCAGCACUGGAGUUAUUGUACAAAAUUGUUCUGCUGUGAUUAUUGCAGAGCUGCCGCCCCAAAACGGCGCGGCGUAGCAGGGAGAAAGGAUUAUUAGCAAUUUUUGGAUAACCUUCAGAAGCAACAACGCUCUCCUCCCUCCCCUCUGUAAUUCUCACUGUAGUGCUAUUUUCCUUUAUUAUUUGGCUAUUCACGACGGCUGUCUAAACAUUUACAGUCCCCCUAUUAACAGCGUUUCUCCCCUAACAAUCGCGCACUUUCAUUUCAAUUAGAGCCAUUCAGGCUCGGGUUUUGCCACCAGGCCACGUCCCAGCCCCUCUCCCUCUGCCAGCACCGACCCGGGCAGCGCACAGCCCACAUCCCCGCACCUCCUGCCCCGCUCCAGGUUAGGAGCUCAGACCGCGAUGCGUUCUGCUUUGGGUGCGGAUCAGGAACAACACAUUAAGAACAGUUACCGCUCCCAUUGUUUGCCCGGUGUCUGAUUUUAUGGUGCAGAACUAAAGAGUGCCCGCUGAAUUUGACUAUGGAACCGGGCAAAUUGCUUUCCGAAAGACUUCUUCGGAGCACAGUGAUAAGGCACAACCCGCUCCUAGGUGCAGCGCCAGAUAAAUCCUUUUAACAGUCCUCAGAUCAGUUAACAGGGUGAGUAAAUCACAGAUCGCUGUUAGCAGAUUUAUGGGAGAGAAUUAAUAGAAUCAGACGAGAUAAUCUGGCGGGGAUAAAAUUGCUGAGGAAACAGUCCUGCCUUCUAUGGGGGGUACAGAACAGCGCUGUGAUUGCGGGCAGCCAGCGCGGGUCGGGCAUUCGGGGCUCAAUCAUCGCGGCGGCAAUUUGGCGUUUAUUAAUUCUUUUCUCUUUAAGCAACUCGCAGAUGCAAAUAAAAGCCACGCUCUCUUUGAAGACACGUUCUUUAUAUAUUUUUAUUGGAGUUUUGCAUCGGUGUUGCCGAAUCCAUCAUUUCCACUGCUUGCUUAUUGUGUUUCUGAAACACUCAAAAUAUCCCAAAUAACUUCGUAUGAUCCAGAAGGAACUUUCUUCUGGCUGGAGGUUGGUGCCACCAGCACUGAGAACAACCUGCAUUUUCCAGGAUUGCUCUACAGAAUCUCGGUGCAGAGAAGUGCAUGCUGUGAUGACGUCUGA